rnacentral:rRNA from 1 species
AGCGAACGCUGGCGGCAGGCUUAACACAUGCAAGUCGAGCGGGCAUAGCAAUAUGUCCGCGGCAGACGGGUGAGUAACGCGUGGGAACGUACCUUUUGGUUCGGAACAACUGAGGGAAACUUCAGCUAAUACCGGAUAAGCCCUUACGGGGAAAGAAUUAUCGCCGAAAGAUCGGCCCGCGUCUGAUUGGGUAGGUGGUGAGGUAAUGGCUCACCCAGGCGACGAUCAGGGGCUGGUCUGAGAGGGUGACCAGCCACAUUGGGACUUCGACACGGCCCACACUCCUACGCGAGGCAGCAGUGGGGAAUAUUGGACAAUGGGCGCAAGCCUGAUCCAGCCAUGCCGCGUGAGUGAUGAAGGCCCUAGGGUUGUAAAGCUCUUUUGUGCGGGAAGAUAAUGACGGUACCGCAAGAAUAAGCCCCGGCUAACUUCGUG